UAAAACAUGAUGAAAAGAAAAAGUAAACAAAAAAAUGUCAUUUAGAGAGAUUGUGGUUGGUGGGAACAGUCGGCAUUUUUUGUUGAAAUGCAUCUUUGAGUGGUUUCGGCGAUAAGUAGCUGAAAACAGGUGACUCCUGUUAUUAGUCUCGAGACAGGUCUAUAAAUGCCUGUGAAAAAAAGUGGAACCACGUGAGAACGUCUUUUAA
rnacentral:ncRNA from 1 species